rnacentral:rRNA from 1 species
GAUGAACGCUAGCUACAGGCUUAACACAUGCAAGUCGCGGGGCAGCAUUUCCUUAGCUUGCUAAGGAAGAUGGCGACCGGCGCACGGGUGAGUAACGCGUAUCCAACCUUCCCAUGUCCACGGGAUAGCCCGUCGAAAGGCGGAUUAAUACCGUAUGAGGUCACAUGCGGGCAUCUAAGUGUGACGAAAGGUUUGGCGGACAUGGAUGGGGAUGCGUCCGAUUAGCUUGACGGCGGGGUAACGGCCCACCGUGGCGACGAUCGGUAGGGGUUCUGAGAGGAAGGUCCCCCACAUUGGAACUGAGACACGGUCCAAAACUCCUACGGGAGGCAGCAGUGAGGAAUAUUGGUCAAUGGGCGAGAGCCUGAACCAGCCAAGUAGCGUGCAGGAAGACGGCCCUAUGGGUUGUAAACUGCUUUUAUAUGGGGAUAAAGUGAGUUACGUGU